GAUCAUGGCUCAGGACGAACGCUGGCGGCGUGCCUAAUACAUGCAAGUAGAACGCUGAAGGGAGAGCUUGCUCUUCUGGAUGAGUUGCGAACGGGUGAGUAACGCGUAGGUAACCUGCCUGGUAGCGGGGGAUAACUAUUGGAAACGAUAGCUAACACCGCAUAACAUUGACUAUUGCAUGAUAGUCAAUUGAAAGGUGCAAAUGCACCACUACCAGAUGG
rnacentral:rRNA from 1 species